rnacentral:rRNA from 1 species
GUCUGUGGCCAUACCACCCUGAAUGCACUCAAUCUUGUCUGAUCUCAGAAGCUAAGCAGGGUUGGGCCUGGUUAGUGCUUGGAUGGGAGAAAAUAGCCAUAAUCU